GUUUCUUGCUGGAGGUACCUGCAUACCUGUGGCCUUCUGAACACACUUCUGUCACGCUUCUGAUGGCAAAGGAUAACACUGCUGUGCAUGCUGAAGUAUCUUUAGGUGCUUCCAAACACAGACCAAAAGGAGGUGCUUUCAAAUACACAGCCUUUAAUCUGGAGGAAAUAUAUGCCCAGUUUGUAGCCCUCAUCGCUUCUACAGUGGCUAAUGUUGCUGCUUACAGAACCUGGAGAUUACUGUAGUGACAGAUGUGAAGAUUUCUUUAAAAGGAGGGUGUGUUAAGUUCUUUGAUAUUUGAAAAGGAACAGAGAAGUGGAUGAGAGACAGUGGCACCUUCAGCAUCCCACGUCAUGGAGAAAAAUGUACUUUUGUUAAAAUACAGUGGGGCAGUGCCUGAAUUUUCAAAGGAGCCAAAGUACAAUAUCCAGAACCUUUAUGCAGCUCAAGAUAGCAAUAUCCAAUAAACUUUCUACCAGCACCAAUGGCUGGCAAGAGAGAGAAAAUCUUUUGGUAGCUAUCUCUAGUUUUCUUCUGAGAGACCUGCAGCGUGCUCUGGGUCCUCAGAGGCAGCUGUGCUUGUGCAGUACUACAGCAACACCAUGGUGGUGUCCCAGCUUUCCUUGAUAUUUGUAGUACUUUCAAGUAUACAAGUCUGUUCACUGAAAAGACCAUGCCAAAAAGAGUGAAAACUGCUACAGUUUAGGUCUAACCUUCUUCCAGAAGGCAGCAUAAGAGGCAAGGCUCUAAUACAGAUCCAAAGACAAUGUAGACUUUAAAGACAAAUCUAGACUAAGUGCAACCACAGUGUAGCUCAGAACAAGGUUGAAAACCAUGGCCCAAAUUUAAAGGGAGUUUCUGUAGUAGUGGGCAGAAUGUGGGUACCAGGUGAGGCCUGUGAGAGCAAUUAAGGCCAACUAGUGUAGUCAUGCUCUGACAGAUACGAGCACCUUGCCCAGGUCAUGAAUUCAAGCCCUUAGUCUGGUUGGCUAGAAACAUGGAGAGUCUUAGUUAUUGCUUAGUUUACCGUCAAUUUAGUAACUGUCAAAGCAAAGGUUUUAAUUUUUGCAGUUAGUCAUGUUCGUGUAUCAGAAUUUGUUGAGCUGAGGAAAUUCUAAUACAUGCUACUCAUUUCUUUUUGUUAUUUCUGUUCUUAUAGGGUAGAAAAAGAUAUUCAGAGAUUCUGUAUAUACAGCUGUUUUACAAUUAUAUCUGUGCCUUUCAAUACAUUAGCAAGAUUUGAUAUAGCUACAAGAACUACAAAAAAUGUUUCUUAUUUCCUUCUCUGUGAUAUAAUGAGCAAAAGGAAGAAUUGUUAACCAUAAGCCCAGUCCAGGGAAUAAAAGCAGAAAGAACAUAAAAAUCAUUUUU
ensembl:lncRNA